UGAGGAUUGAAAAAUUCGUGGCUGACUGGUUAAGACUCUAUCUCUAGGGGAGGUUGAAACUGCAAUUAGAUUACGUAUUGAGCACCUUUUGGGAAUUCUAAAUGACACCAUUUUGGGCCUCUGUGGUCUUGGGCUUUGGUGGUCUCUCAAUGUGUGUGUGUGUGUGUAUGUGUGUGUGUCUGUUUAAACACAUGCUUUACCUAAAAACAUGGCCAGUGUGUGGCUGGAGCAUGAACAAGAGGAAGAAUGAAGACAGAUGAAGCUGAACGUGGUUACUACUCUGGAUUUUAUUCUGAAUGUGACACAGGGAGAAGUGUUGAAAGGUUUCCAGCAGGGGAAGGACAUGAUCAUGCUCGUAUUUUAAAAAGGACAUUUUGGCUGCAAGGUGGAAAACAGACUGGGGGCAGAGUUGGGUAAGGUUGGAAGUAAGAGUAGAAGCAAAGACAAGACUAGUCAGACCACUCAUGUAAGCGUAGCUUGAAGAUGGGUCUUUAUCGAAACUAUAGCCACAUCUGUACCUACUUCGUUCGGUCUCUCUUAAUUCCUGCUGUAGUCAUUCAUUUUAUAAGAUCAAUCGACAUCCUUUGUGCUCACCUUCCAGUAUAUCUGCAGGAUUAUUUCAAGAGGUAUAAUUGCUGGUUGGGAGCUAAAGUAAACUUGCCAUAUUGAAAUGAGAUCUGAUGAUCUAAUUCUCACCUUGAGCCCCAAGAAACAAGUUUAUUCAUUCUUUGCCACACGACCCCGUCUGAGAUUAAAGGGAAACGCAUCUGUCACUCCUCCCACAUCAGUUUUCUCGACUUUAAAUAGUCCCAGGCUAGCAAGCUUCUGCCUAUGGCCCUGUUCUCUUCUCGAACGGUUCCGUAUCAGGUUACAGAGAGAGAAACUGAGGCAAAGGCAGGCUCCGAGGGUAUGGAAUUCCUUUCACUCAGAGGAACUGGAACGAGCACCUGAAGCCAGAGCUCCCUUUUCCCACAGCAGAAUUUCCACACUGAUUACUCAACAGCGGAAAAUCGGAAGAGAUGCAAGUAGGAAAAAGAAACUAAACCAGGUCUGA
rnacentral:lncRNA from 1 species